UUCUAGAAGUUAAAUUUAUUUGAUAAAUUCCAUGAUAUGUGAACAGAUAAAUAGGUUGACAGUCUUGUCUAUCAAUAACAUAAUCUUAAAAAGAAAAAAAAAAGUUCCUCCAACCUUUUUUUUUUGUCUCUAUUUUAUUGACAUAGGCUUAGAGAGCUUCACGCAAGUAAUGUAGCCUUAGAGAGCUACACACAAGUAAU